rnacentral:rRNA from 1 species
AACGGAGGGGACGAGUGUUAUUCAUCAUGAUUGGGCGUAAAGGGUACGUAGGUUGUUUUCUAAGUACGAAUAAAAAGACCGGAAGCAGUUCUGAGGGAUAUUGGUAGACUGGAAAACUGGAGUGCGGAAGAGGAUACAAGGAAUUACAGUAGAGGGGUAAAAUCCGUUGAUAUUGGUAAAUACAUACUAACAGGCGAAGGCGUGUAUCUGGUACGUUACUGACACUGAGGUACGAAAGCGUGGGUAUCGAUCAGG